AUCAUUUGCUAAGAAGGUCGACGGCAGGUGAAGGUCAAUGCGAAUCAGCUGCAACUAUUUAAGCACAGAACAGCAUUCAAGAAAAAGGCCUUCAACUCCUCAUGAGAUAAGUGGAAAUGGAAGAGUUGAAGUAACAAAUGCAAGAAGUAGGAUCAGCAGAGAAUAGAAAAAUGUGGAUGUUCUGCAGCACAAAAUUACGGUCAGGUGUCGGUCAGCCACCAUUAAGAGGUACGGCUGCAGAAAAAUACCCUUUGUGAAAUGGAGACACAAGGGACUGUGCACAGAGCUACAGAGCCCGGAAACAGGCUCGCUGAUCAAACUCAUCCAUACAGAUUGUGUUUCCCACUUGAGUUAAUCCCACAUGCCUGCAAUGGGCUCAUACCCCUCAAAACUUAGAGUUCCCAUCCUCGGGUCCAUGGAGCUCUUGGUUAAUGGUAAGGAUUCAUGGCAUUUAAAAAAAGUUGAGAAUCCCUGCUCAAAACCUUUUUUAUCUAUGUGCAUGUCCAAAUGUAUUUUAAACAUUGUAGCUGCCUCUGCUGGUUCCUCGAGCAGCUUCUUCCAUAUCUCCACCACCUCUGAAUAAUGACUGCCUCCCCCCAUCCCCCCAGAUCCUCUUUAAGUAUUUCCCCACUCACCUUAAAUCUAUGCUCUCUAAUUUCCUUCUCUGGGAAAAAUGCUGCGACCAUUCACCUUACCCAUGCCCCUCAUGAUUUUAUAUGCCUCUAUAAUGUCACCCCCUCCCCCCCAUGUCCUGUACUCCAGGGAAUGAAAGCUCCAGCUAAAUAGUUCUUUCCUAUAACUAAAGCUCUCUUGUCUCAGUAAUAUCCUUGUGAGCCUUUUCUCCAUCUAUUUCAGCCUAAUGACAUUCUCAGUACAAUCAUGCAAAGUGAACUGCACACAGAACUGCAAGAGUGGUCUCAGUGUUUUGUACAGCUGUCACAUGACUUCCCAACGCUUGUCCUCAAUGCCCUGAGUGAUAACCCUGUCUACCUGUGUCACCUCUUACAGGGAACUUUGUACUUCUUAUUUUUUAUUUUUAUUUAUUUAUUAAAUUUUAGAAAAUUACAAGAAUAAAAGAAAUGAUGAAAUAGUGAGAAAAAGAAUAUUAACCCUCCCCCCCCCAACCCUUAUCUAAAGAAAGAAAAAAAAGAAGAGAAAGAUUGUCUGGAUAUCGGAGGAUCCCCACAUGCUCCAUGGAGUUCAAAAUAAUUUUAAUAUUUAUUUUUACUUUCCCCAAUUACUUUAUAAUUUUAUCUUCAAAGGACCUAAGUAUUUAAUCCUAUCUUUUGUAAGUAUGCAAGCCAAAUUUUCAAAAAUACAUCAUAUUCAUUUCUUAGAUUGUAUGUAAUUUUUUCAAGUGGAAUACAACUAUAUAUUUCAUUAUCCCAACAAUCCAUAGUUAAAUAUAAAUCAGAUUUCCAAGUAACUGCGAUAACUUUUUUGGCUACUGCCAAUGCGAUUUUUAUAAAUUUUUUCUGAUACUUAUUCAAUUUAAGUUUCAGUAUUGUCCCUUCAAUGUCUCCUAAUGAAAAUAAUACUGGACUAUGUGGGAGUUGUACUCCAGUAAUUUGUUCCAAUAAAAGUCUUAGAUUUAUCCAAAAUGGUUGAAUUUUAAAACAAGACCAAGUAGAAUGUAAAAAAGUACCAAUUUCUUGAUUACAUUGAAAACAUUGGUCAGACAUAUUUGAAUUUAAUCUAUUUAUUUUCUGUGGUGUUAUAUAUAAUUGAUGUAAAAAAUUAUAUUGUAUUAAUCUAAGUCGAACAUUUAUUGUAUUUCUCAUACUAUCAGAACAUAAUCUUGACCAGUUUUUUCCAUCAAUUUUAACAUUCAAAUCAGAUUCCCAUUUCUCUUAAUUUAUGACUUCCUGAUUUAGUUGUCUGUUUUUGAAUCAAAUUAUACAUACAAGAUGUAAUUUUUUAAAUUUUUCCAUUUUGAAUUAAUAUUUCUAUUUCACUAGGUUUUGGCAUCAACAUUGUUUGACCCAGCUUUUCUCGUAAAUAAGCCUUUAAUUGAAAAUAGCAGAAAAGAGUGUUGUUUGAUAUUUUAUAUUUAUUUUUUAAUUGAUCAAACGACAUCAAUAUACCUCCUUCAAAACAAUCACCUAUAUAUUUAAUCCCCUUUUGGAACCAAUUAUGUAAAAGUUUAUUAUACAUUGUAAAAGGAAUGUCUAUUUUGAAUUAAAGUUCUUUUUGCUAAUAAAGAUUUCUUUAUCUCAUCGUCCAUAUUUACCUUAUUCCAUAAAUCAAUCAAGUGUCUUAAUAUAGGAGAUUCUUUUUUUUCCCUUAUCCAUUUGGAUUCCCAUUUAUAUAUAAAAUCUUCUGGUAUGUUUUCUCCUAUCUUAUCUAAUUCUAUUCUAAUCCAUGCCGG